GUGGGCUGGAGAAUCGGGAAGCAGGAUUGUUCCGGAACCAUCCCCGCAAGACGGGGCUGCGCGGGAUGAUGGUUGCCAGUCCCGAAACUGCCUGUGAUGUCGGAGGAGGUGAGCUAACGUCUACGAGUUGCGCAACCGGCCCCCCCCGACGGAAGGAUCUCGGAAGACGCCGGUAAAUGUUCCCCUGUGGCUUGGGCAGUAACGGAGGGUGCGCACGGGAUCAGAGACGGCGGGGGUAGGGAAACCAUGCCCUCGGAGACCGGCUCUGCCUUUUGGGAAACUGCGGGAGUGACAGAAAGGGAAGACUCAGACACCCCCGCCCCCCCCCCCCCCCCUUUCCCUCUGAUCACGCGCAGUUGGAGAGAGUUUGAAAAAGGUCGUAUCAUGUUCUUCUGUAGGACCUAUUAAAAGUUUUAACUGCGGGUCUGGCACAAGACUCUUUUUAGGUUUUACUAUGGCUGUCCCCUCCACCGAUCUUCCCGACUGCAGGGAUGGGUCAUCGUCCAUGCUAAGAAGGGCGGAGAUUUCCCCCCGUAUUUCGGGUGGGAUGUCUUCCCCCGGAGUUGUGAGGGGGGUCUGAUGAGCUCCUGCCGCUAUUGGAGGCUUUUGGACAGUUUCUGCAGCAAGUUUAGAGGUUCCAGGUUUUAAUGGAACGGUUUGGAGGUCCUGGGGAGUUUGCAAAGCCUCUUUUUUAGGAGAAAUGGAUGUUUUUGCCUCCUGGAUUACUUGAUAAAGUACUCUGCCAGGUGAUAGUAGGCUUGCCGCAAAUUUAUCGUUUAAAGUUGCCAAAUGAUAAAGCGCCAUAUUUGCAUUUUCCAAAAAACGUGGAUUGUAAAGAUCCUUUACUGUAGCAUUUGGGUAUUCUUUUUUUAUCCAGGAUAACAAGGUUUCUAAUUCCUUUCUGGCAAUAAUUACUGAGUGUUUCUUAAUCAUAGCUUCUAAGCUAUUAAGUACGUCCGUCUCUGUUUUUGAGAGACCCCUUCCCAUUUCUAGUUUUGGACAGCUUACCAGCUCUCAGUUGUUUUUAUCGGUCCUUGGAGUCCCAGUCCGCGGUCUGUCCAGCAGGUCACGGUGUUCUGGCCCCUGUGCACCGGUUCACAAGGUCCUGGACUUCCAAUUACCGUCUCUGGAGGUUAUAUGUUUCUGCUCCUUGACUGCUGUCCAGUGGUCUCCUGGCACGGUAUCUCAGUGAGGGCCUCACACGCGGGCACCAGAUGUGCGGGUUCUCGACCCCCCACGUGUCCUCCCCGGAUGGGGGACAAAGUCCUUGCCCGGAAUAAGAGACGAACGGGACUUUUGGAUCUUCUCGGUCUUCAGAUUGUUUAUUACAUCUUAUCAGUAAUUUACAUGCCGCCGACACAGCAUGAAGCAGAGCAAAUACCAAAAGACAAAUGCAGGAAAACUCAAGGCCUUUAAAGGAUACAAGAACUCCCCUACAAUAUUUGGAGAACAGCUUGCGAAGGAUCUAGAAUCCUGGGAACCCCCACCGGGAGAAGGACAGCUGCUCCAGUAUGUGGAUGACCUUUUAAUAGCCACCCAGAUCCAAGAGGCAUGUGUGGACUGGACGGAAACAAGAGCCUGCAGUGGACAAAGGAAGCAACACAGGCUUUCGACUAACUGAAGAAGGCCCGCUUGUCAGCUCCAGCCCUGAGACUUCCAGACGUGAGUAAACUAUUCUUUUUGUUUUCUCAUGAAAAGCAAGGGAUUGCCUUGGGAAUACUGGCACAAGACUUGGGACCCUAUCGGCGGGCAGUGGCCUACCUUUCCAAACAGCUGGAUGCAGCAGCCAAGGGAUGGCAAGGGUGCCUCAGAGCCAUUGCAGCAGUAGCAAUAAAUAUCUAAGAGGCAUGCAAGUUUACCCUGGGCCAGAAAAUGACUGUGCUAGUGUCUCACACAGUAUCUGCAGUCCUGGAGGCAAAAGGGGGACAUUGGCUCUCCCCUCAGAGAUUCCUGAAGUACCAAGCCAUACUGGUAGAACAAGAUGAUGUUGAAAUUGUGGUGACUAACAUUGUGAACCCAGCUUCAUCCCUCAGUGGGAACCUGGGAGAACCGGUAAACCAUGACUGCCUGGAGACCAUCGAGGCCACUUACUCCAGUCACCCAGAUCUGAAGGACACUCCUCUCGAGGGCGCUGAGACCUGCUUCGCUGAUAGAAGCAGCUAUGUUAUCAGUGAAAAGAGACAUGCUGGGUAUGCAGUUACCACCAGCCGAGAGGUAAUAGAGUCUAGGCCAUUGCCAACGAACACCUCUGCACAAAAGGCUGAAAUAAUUGCUCUAACCCGAGCCUUAGAAUUGGCAAAAAGAAAGAAGAUUAACAUUUAUACAGACUCAAGGUAUGCAUUUGGGGUGGUUCAUGCACAUGGAGCCAUCUGGAAAGAGAGAGGACUGUUAAAUUCACAAGGGAAGAGUAUCAAACAUGCAUCGGAGAUACUAAAGUUGCUGGAUGCAGUUCAGUUACCUGAGAAGGUAGCUAUCAUGCACAUUAAAGCACACCAAAAAGUGAGUUCUGAAUUGGAAGAGGGAAAUAUGCUGGUGGACAGAGAGGCAAAAGACGCAGCCAAAGGUGAAGUACCCAGUGAAAAGGUAGAGGCAACAUUAAUACCAGAUGGAAAGAUUUGCCUUGAAGGUAGGCCAGAAUACAACAAGAAAGAUAAGAAACUUAUUAA